AAGCCAUCCAUGGAACAUGGACAGAAAACAGGAAAGGGUCAUUGGGCAUAAUUCUCCCAAACUGCAAUGAAUGCGAUAGAUUCAUUCCUUCUGGUAAGGGAUCAAGACUGAUCAUCUUAGAUGCUGGUUCGGUUGAUCGGGGUUACCAGUAAGGCACUGCGAGUUAAACCCAAUAGAGAUAAUUCAAGCACAAGAAAAGGCCUAUGUCGCCCGAAAAAAUACCACUUUCAAAAUCAAAGACGUUAAACGUCUGUUCCUUUAGGCCAAGGCUAGUGUGACAACUACAGACUGGGCUAAGGCAUGUCAACACGUCAUAGACAAGGUGGAGGAUCGGUUUUAGGAAGCGGGAAGAUUGAAUGAGGAAGUACCACCAGCCGUAUUUUCGUUCGGGAGUGACAGCGAGUUUGGGUGUGAGAGUGAAGAUUUGGGCGAGAAUGUCAGUGGAGAGAGUGAUAGUGAAAAGGUUACUGAGAAUAUGGAUGGUGGUGGUGUUGCGAAUGAAGAUUCGAGUGAUGAUGAUA